UUUACACUGCAUUCUCCUUGGGGAAGGUCACAGAGCAGGAUGAGAAUGGAACCGGGAGACAGGAACAAAGCAGAGACCCUGAAGCCUGGUCUGUGGGCAGAAAAGCCUCUAGAGGCCCGACUAUCAAAGGGACAUGAUGCCUUUAAGGAGGAUGAAGUCAUCGGGGGAUGAGGCCACCUGGCUCUGCAGCCAGGGCUGCUGCCGAAAAGGAGGAGCAGAAGGUGGAAGAGUAGUAUGAAAUAUUUGUAUUCACUUAAAGUGGAAAGACAAUCUGCACACCUGGAGGAGAUAUUUGCAACAUUUACAACUGGCAAAGGUUUAUUACCAAGAAUAUAUAAAGAAGUCUUAUAAAUCAACAAGAAAGAAGAAAAACAACAGAAAGAAAUGGACAAAAGAAAAAGCAUUUUAUAAAAGAAGAAAUGCUCAUGGCCAGCAAACAUAUGGAGAUGUUCAAACUCAUGUGAAAUGUAAAUCAAGACCCAAUAAGAUAAGCUUUUAUGUCCACUAAAAUGGCAAAAUGUUAAUAGCUAGACAAUCCAAGUAUUGGAGAACAUACAGAUCCAUGGGAUCUCUUACAUAUCGCUUAUAAGGGUACGCAUUAGGACAUAGGACACUCACUUAGAAAAAGUGUGGCAUUAUCUUGCAAAAUCAAACACUCACAUAGGCUGCUGUGCAGGUCCUGAGUCUGUUUGCCCUCAGAUCCACUCUUUGCUAUGCCCUUAUGUCCUCAGUUUUCCAGCAGGAUCUCGGCAGCCAUGUCAUCUUGCUUCCAGUUGGGCUCAGUUAAUAAAAGAGAGAGAAUGGAAGGUGGAAAGAAGGGAGAAGCCAAGGUGUUUCUCACCAGCACCCUCCCCUUCUCCUCUCAGGUAACAUCCCCUGUGGUGGCCACAGCUCUCCGAUGGGUCCAGUUCCCACAGGAAAGCCAGCCAUGAUUCUAACUUCUACCAGGUGACCCUGGCCCUGGGCUCUGGUGACACUAACCUUUUGUUUCUCUAGUCCUGGGGAGGGGUAGUAACAGCUUCCUGCUAUUAUUAAUUUAUGGAUUGCCUCAUUGCCUCCUGUGAGGCUUCUCAGCUAUUGAUUACCAUACUACUCAGCAAUAAAAAGGAAAAAACUAUUGAUACAUGCAACAACUUUGUCGGACCACAAGAGAAUUUUACCAACUAAAAAAGCCAGUCUCACAUUGUUACAUACUAUAUGAUUCCACUUACAUAACCUUCUAGAAAUGACAAAAUUAUUGAGGUGAAGAACAGAUUAGUGGUUGCCAAGGGUUAAAGACAGGGUUGGGGUUGGAGAAAGAAAUCAGUGUACCUAAAAAGAAGCAGCCAGAGGGAUCUUUGUGGUGACGGGACAGUUCUGUAUCUUGAUUGUGGUGGUGGUUAUACAAAUCUACGUGUAAUAAAGUUUUAUGUGUGCAUAGAACUAUGUACAUACUCAAACAAAUGCAUGUAACCCUGGUGAAAUCUGAAUAAGGUCUGUGGAUUGUGCCAAUACCAGUGACCUGGUUUUGAUACUGUAUUAUAGCUAUCUAAGACAUUAUUAUCAGGAGAAAAUGGGGGAAAGGUACAUGUACUUUUCUGUACUAUUUUUGCAACUUCUCGUGAAUCUGUUACUAUUUCAAAAUUAAAAGUAUCUGAAAAUCCAUAGAGUGGUUUCUGUUUUUUCUGAUUAGACCCUGACUGAUA
rnacentral:lncRNA from 1 species